rnacentral:rRNA from 1 species
AGGACGAACGCUGGCGGCGUGCUUAACACAUGCAAGUCGAGCGGUAAGGCCCUUUCGGGGGUACACGAGCGGCGAACGGGUGAGUAACACGUGAGUAAUCUGCCCUCCACUUGGGGAUAAGCUUCGGAAACGGGGUCUAAUACCUGAUACGACAACUUCCUGCAUGGGAUGGUUGUGGAAAGUUUUUUCGGUGGGGGAUGUGCUCGCGGCCUAUCAGCUUGUUGGUGGGGUAAUGGCCUACCAAGGCUUCGACGGGUAGCCGGCCUGAGAGGGUGACCGGCCACACUGGGACUGAGACACGGCCCAGACUCCGUACGGGAGGCAGCAGUGGGGAAUAGUGGACAAUGGGCGGAAGCCUGAUCCAGCAACGCGCGUGAGGGAUGACGGCCUUCGGUUAGUAAACCUCUUUCACGUACCGACGAAGCCGCCCGUUGUGGGUGGUGGACGGUAGGUACAGAAGAAGCACCGGACCAACGUACGUGACCAGCCAGCCGAC